rnacentral:rRNA from 1 species
UGGCGGACGGGUGAGUAAUGUCUGGGAAACUGCCCGAUGGGGGGGGAUAACUACUGGAAACGGUAGCUAAUACCGCAUAACGUCGCAAGACCAAAGAGGGGACCUUCGGGCCUCUUGCCAUCGGAUGUGCCCAGAUGGGAUUAGCUAGUAGGUGGGGUAACGGCUCACCUAGGCGACGAUCCCUAGCUGGUCUGAGAGGAUGACCAGCCACACUGGAACUGAGACACGGUCCAG